AGCCAUGCGAGUCAUUGUAGCAAUACAAGGCAGACGGCUCAGUAACGCGUAGUCAACCUAACCUAUGGACGGGAAUAACCUCGGGAAACUGAGAAUAAUGCCCGAUAGAACACUAUACCUGGAAUGGUUUGUGUUCCAAAUGAUUUAUCGCCGUAGGAUGGGACUGCGGCCUAUCAGUUUGUUGGUGAGGUAAUGGCCCACCAAGACUAUUACAGGUACGGGCUCUGAGAGGAGUAGCCCGGAGAUGGGUACUGAGACACGGACCCAGGCCCUAUGGGGCGCAGCAGGCGAGAAAACUUUGCAAUGUGCGAAAGCACGACAAGGUUAAUCCGAGUGGUUUGUGCUAAACGAACCUUUUGUCGGUCCUAGAAACACCGAUGAAUAAGGGGUGGGCAAGUUCUGGUGUCAGCCGCCGCGGUAAAACCAGCACCUCAAGUGGUCAGGAUGAUUAUUGGGCCUAAAGCAUCCGUAGCCGGCGCUGUAAGUUUUCGGUUAAAUCUGUACGCUCAACGUACAGGCUGCCGGGAAUACUGCAGCGCUAGGGAGUGGGAGAGGUAGACGGUACUCGGUAGGAAGGGGUAAAAUCCUUUGAUCUAUUGAUGACCACCUGUGGCGAAGGCGGUCUGCCAGAACACGUCCGACGGUGAGGGAUGAAAGCUGGGGGAGCAAACCGGAUUAGAUACCCGGGUAGUCCCAGCUGUAAACUAUGCAAACUCAGUGAUGCAUUGACUUGUGGUCAAUGCAGUGCUGCAGGGAAGCCGUUAAGUUUGCCGCCUGGGAAGUACGUACGCAAGUAUGAAACUUAAAGGAAUUGGCGGGG
rnacentral:rRNA from 1 species